rnacentral:SRP_RNA from 1 species
GCUAGGUGUGGUGGCGUGCACCUGUAAUCCCAGCUACUUGGGAGGCUGAGGCGGAAGAAUUGCUUGAACCUGGGAGACAGAGGUUGCAGUGAGCCAGGAUCAUGCCAUUGCACUCCAGCCUGGGUGACAGAGCAAGACUCCGUCUCAA